rnacentral:tRNA from 1 species
AUCGGUGUAGCUUAACGGUAAAGCGCCGGUCUCCAAAACCGUGAGAUGCAGGUUCGAGUCCUGCCACCCUUGCCA